AAGAAUAUUUUGCUGCUCAUAUUGGUUCCUGGUUGUUGAUAAUAUUAAUUGUUAACAACAAUAUUGUUAACAACCAGGAACAAUAUGGGCAGCAAAAUAUUGUUC